AACAAGGCGUACCUGCGGACCUGCGGAAGGAUCAUUACAGAGUUGCAAAACUCCCUAAACCAUUGUGAACGUUACCUAAACCGUUGCUUCGGCGGGCGGCCCGGGUCCUUCCCGGCGCCCCUCGGCCCUCGCGGGCGCCCGCCGGAGGUAAACCAAACUAUUGCAUUGUAUGGCCUCUCUGAGUCUUCUGUACUGAAUAAGUCAAAACUUUUAACAACGGAUCUCAGAUCGGAAGAGCAC
rnacentral:misc_RNA from 1 species